rnacentral:lncRNA from 1 species
GUCAUGGCCUGGGGCCGCAGCCAGAACCUGUCCGCUGGGGGCCCGUUCAUCUUGCUGGGCUUCCCGGGGCCCGGGGCCUCCACGUGGAGCUCUUCCUGCUCACGUACGUGCUCACGGUGGCCGGGAACCUGGCCAUCCUCUCGCUGGUCGGGGCACACCGGCGCCUGCAGACGCCCAUAUACUUUUUCCUCUGCAACCUCUCCUUCCUGGAGAUCUGGUUCACCACGGCCUGCAUGCCCAAGACGCUGGCCGUCUUUACCUCACGCAGCGGAGCCAUCUCCUUCUCAGGCUGCGCUGUGCAGAUGCACUUCGUCUUCUCUCUGGGCUGCACCGAGGACUUCCUGCUGGCCGCCAUGGCCUACGACUGCUACCUAGCCGUCUGCCUGCCGCUGCGCUACGGCAGCUUCAUGACGCCCGGGUUCUCUGGCCACCUGGCCCUGGGCUCCUGGCUCUGCGGCUUCUCGGCCAUCAUCGUGCCCACGGCCCUCAUCAGCCGCCUUUUUUUCUGUGGCUCACGGGUCCUCAACCACUUCUGGGACAUCCCGCCCUGGAUCGUGCUGCCUUCUGCGUCAUCCUGGGUCUACGACGUCACCACGCUGGGCGUCAUCACGCUGGUCUGUCAUGUCAUCACGCUGGGCGUCAUCACGCUGGUCUCCUACGCCCACAUCGUGGUCACCGUCGUCAGGACGCCCUCGCUGCAGGGCCGGCCCCGGGCCUUCUCCGCCUGCUCCUCCCACCUCGCGGUGGUCCUCAUCUGGUAUGGCCCAACUGUCUUCCUGCACGUGAGGACCUUGGUGGAGAGCUCGCUGGACCUGACCAAGGCUGUCGCCGUGCUCAGCACCACCGUCACCCCGGUGCUGAACCCCUUCAUCUACGCCUUGAGGAACGAGGAUGUCAAGGAGGCUCUGCGGAAGGGGGUGUGGCGGACAUGA